AUCCGCGCCGAGUUUCAAAUCGGCCGGGGUGGGCGAGGUGCAUCUGUGCUCCGCAUCUCGCAGGCGUGGGAGCUUUGGGGGUCUGGUGAACAGAACAGACCGAUGGCCUCUCGGUGGCCCGGCGUGAGCACGUCCAUGCGCAGGAGAUCUCUCCAGGACCACCAGCAGCUGGAGGAGAGCGAUGAGCUGCCGCCUGCAGCUGGCCAUCUGGAGGCCUCCGGCGGAGCCCUGGGCUCCCUCUGCAGACAGUUCCAAAGGAGGCUGCCCCUGAGAGCAGUCAGCCUCAACCUAGGGGCGGGCCCCUCCUGGAAACGCCUGGAAACCCCAGAGCCAGAGCAGCAGGGCCUCCAGGCUGCAGCUCGCUCAGCUAAGAACGCCUUGGGUGCCGUGUCCCAGAGAAUCCAGGAGUCCUGCCAAAGUGGCACCAAGUGGCUGGUGGAAACCCAGGUGAAAGCCAGGAGGAGGAAGAGAGAGACACAGAAGGGCGGUAGCCCCCCAGCUCGCAGCCUGAGCCAGAGGAGCACCCGGCUUUCUGGAACCGGCCCUGCCUGCUCAACUCUGGGCCCCUGGGGGUGGGAGCGUCACCGCCGCUCCACCCAGAUGGGCCCACGUGCCCACCCUCUGCGGAGGUCCAGGAGGGAGGCCGCCUUCCGGAGCCCCUACUCCUCUACAGAGCCCCUCUGCUCCCCCCAGUGAAUCCGACAGUGACCUGGAGCCCGUGGGGGCAGGAAUCCAGCACCUCCAGAAGCUGUCCCAGGAGCUGGACGAGGCCAUUGCGGCUGAAGAGAGCGCUGACAUGGCCGUUUCUCUCCUUCGAGACUGACGGAGUGCCCUUCAGGGAAUGCCCUCCUCCCGAGCAUCUUUCCUCCCAAGCAUCUUUCCCAGCGUCCUCUUCCUCCUCUCCUCCUCCUCCUCCUCCUACAUGAGCGCGUGUGCAGAUUUGGAGGCGCGUUAAAGAACUGAGUCUCCUGGAGAAACCCACAGAGCUGACGCCCAGCAGAGUGGGCAGCGUGCCAUCUUCCUACCAGCUCGGACCUGAGCUGCUGACCUCUCUCACCCACCACCUUCCAGCUCCUCAUUCUGGGGGAAGGCUCUGGUGUCCUCACUCCCCCCUCCCCCCUGAAGCACAAUGAGGGGCAAGAAGAGAGCUCCUUCUUGCAGGAAGUGAGCCAUACCUGACCCCACACCCCCACACGUGGGAUCCAUACCUCCGCACCCUUGAGUUCCUGGAGGAAGCCCCCAGGAGCUGGCAGUGCCCCUGGGCCACUGCUGACAAGGACCUGACAAGCAGAGGCCCAGGUGGGGGCUGGUCAGGGGCCUCUGCUCUCCUGCUCGGACCACAUCUGAGCCCCGCAGAGACCGCCUGCCGCAGCCCAGGAGGUGACUCCCCGCAGACCCGGCUCCUGGGUGCACAGCUCCCAUGCCUGCCCCAAAAUAAGGGAUGGGAGAGAUAUCCAGGCUCUGAGACCCGGGGCCUACGGGUACCCAUUUAUGUUCUCAGCACCGGGCACUGUGGGUGGCAGCGAGGAGUAGCACUGCUCAGCAAUUUCUGCCCUUUGUAAAUUAUUUAAGAAAUCUGCCUUGUCAUUUUAUUAGAAAGAAAUCAGGGCAUAACUUCCCUCCAUAAUGUUGCUUUUCCAUAAUAAGACUGACAGAUUGAGGGAGUCUCAGAGGGAAGGGUGGGGGUGGGAGGGGUUAACCAUGGAACUUAUAUGCACAUGUGCAUAGCCCAUGGACACAGACAAUAGUGUGGUGAGGG